AGCAGCCGCGGUAAUUCCAGCUCCAAUAGCGUAUAUUAAAGUUGUUGCAGUUAAAAAGCUCGUAGUUGAAUUUCGAGACCGGCUUACUGGUCGUGCUUUUGUACGUACUGGUAUAAUCGGUUUCUCCUUUCUGACGAACUAUAAUGCCAUUAAUUUGGUGUUAUAGGGAAUCAGGACUGUUACUUUGAAAAAAUUAGAGUGUUUAAAGCAGGCUCACGCUUGAAUACAUUAGCAUGGAAUAACGGAAUAGGACGUUUGAUUCUAUUUUGUUGGUUUCUAGGAUCGACGUAAUGAUUAAUAGGGAUAGUUGGGGGCAUUAGUAUUCAAUUGUCAGAGGUGAAAUUCUUGGAUUUAU
rnacentral:rRNA from 1 species